rnacentral:rRNA from 1 species
UACGUAGGGGGCAAGCGUUGUCCGGAUUUAUUGGGCGUAAAGAGCGUGUAGGCGGCUUUACAGGUCCGUUGUGAAAACUCGAGGCUCAACCUCGAGACGCCGGUGGAAACCGUAAAGCUAGAGUCCGGAAGAGGAGAGUGGAAUUCCUGGUGCAGCGGUGAAAUGCGCAGAUAUCAGGAGGAACACCCGUGGCGAAAGCGGCUCUCUGGGACGGUACUGACGCUGAGACGCGAAAGCGUGGGGAGCAAACAGG